rnacentral:rRNA from 1 species
UACGUAGGGGGCUAGCGUUGUCCGGAUUUAUUGGGCGUAAAGAGCGUGUAGGCGGCCAGGUAGGUCCGGUGUGAAAACUCGAGGCUUAACCUCGAGAUGUCAUCGGAAACCAUCUGGCUAGAGUCCGGAAGAGGAAAGUGGAAUUCCUGGUGUAGAGGUGAAAUUCGUAGAUAUUCGCAAGAACACCAGUGGCGAAGGCGGCUCACUGGCCCGGUACUGACGCUGAGGUGCGAAAGCGUGGGGAGCAAACAGG